rnacentral:rRNA from 1 species
UGGGGAAUCUUGCACAAUGGGGGAAACCCUGAUGCAGCGACGCCGCGUGAGCGAUGAAGCCCUUCGGGGUGUAAAGCUCUUUCGGCAGGGAAGAUUAUGACGGUACCUGCAGAAGCAGCUGCGGCUAACUACGUGCCAGCAGCCGCGGUAAUACGUAGGCAGCAAGCGUUGUUCGGAGUUACUGGGCGUAAAGGGUGUGUAGGCGGCCCCCUAAGUUUGGUGUGAAAUCUCCCGGCUUAACCGGGAGGGUGCGCCGAAGACUGGAGGGCUAGAGUGCGGGAUGGGAGAGUGGAAUUCCUGGUGUAGCGGUGAAAUGCGUAGAUAUCAGGAGGAACACCUGUGGUGUAGACGGCUCUCUGGACCGCAACUGACGCUGAGACACGAAAGCGUGGGUAGCAAACAG